rnacentral:rRNA from 1 species
UGGGGAAUAUUGCACAAUGGGGGGAACCCUGAUGCAGCGACGCCGCGUGAACGAAGAAGUAUUUCGGUAUGUAAAGUUCUAUCAGCAGGGAAGAAGAUGACGGUACCUGACUAAGAAGCCCCGGCUAACUACGUGCCAGCAGCCGCGGUAAUACGUAGGGGGCAAGCGUUAUCCGGAUUUACUGGGUGUAAAGGGAGCGCAGACGGCAUAGCAAGUCUGAUGUGAAAGGCUGGGGCUCAACCCCAGGACUGCAUUGGAAACUGUUAAGCUAGAGUGUCGGAGAGGUAAGUGGAAUUCCUAGUGUAGCGGUGAAAUGCGUAGAUAUUAGGAGGAACACCAGUGGCGAAGGCGGCUUACUGGACGAUAACUGACGUUGAGGCUCGAAAGCGUGGGGAGCAAACAGG